AGCAGAAUAACUCAUCCUCUCCCCAGAGAUGUCCGUUCUCUAAUCCGUGAAACGGGUGAACAUGUUACCUUCCAUGGCAAAAGGGACUUGGCAGAUGCAAUUAAGGUAUGGACCUUGAAUUGGGAAGAGUUCCCUAGAGUGUCCAGGUGGAUCCAAUAUAACUACAUGAGUUUUUAGAAGUGGAAGAGUAAGACAGAAGAGUGGGUCAGAGAGAUGCAACAACGGAAGAAGAGGAGGAGAAGUGGCAGCUUGAGAGAAACUCAACCCACUACUGCUGGCUUUAAAAAUGGAGGAAGAGGGCCAGGCGCGGUGGCUCAUGCUUGUAAUCCCAGCACUUUGGGAGGCAAAGUUGUGCGGAUCACGAGGUCAGGAGUUUGAGACAAGCCUGAUCAACAUGGUGAAACCCCAUCUCUAAAAAAAUACAAAAAUUAGCUGGGUGUAGUGGUGCGCGCCUAUAGUCCCAGCUGCUCAGGAGUCUGAGGCAGGGGAAUGGCGUGAACCCGGGAAGCGGAGCUUGCAGUGAGCCGAGAUCGCACCACUGCACUCCAGCCCGGGCAACAGAGUGAGACUCCAUCUCAAAAGAAAAAAAAAAGAAAGAAAAUGGAGGAAGGAGACCCACCAUGAGCCAAGGAAUGCAGAUGGCUUCUCAAAGCUGAGAACAGUCCUUAGCUGAUAGCCAGAGCAAGAUAAUAAAGACCUCAGUUCUACAAUCACAAGGAACUGAAUUCUGCCAACAACCUGAAUGCACCAAGAGACAGACUCUUCCAAAGAUCCCUCAGAAAGAGACACAGACGUGCAGGUAUCUUGAUUUCAGCCUCACAGACACCCAUGUCAGACUUCUGACCUGCAGAACUCUAAGGUAGAAGGAAAAGAAGACAAAAGAUGUACCAGAACUUCACUUUUUACCACUGACACGAGCUACUUCUUUGUUGAAUCAGUUCUAGAGGCUGGAGUUCCAAAAUCAAGGUGUCAGCAGGCUCAUGGACCCCCAAGUCUCUAGGACACCGGUCAUAUUGGAUUGCAUAUCUGCCCUACUCCAGUAUGAUCUCAUCUUAACUUGGCUAAUUACAUCCUCCAGUGGCCAAUUCUGGCUUCUAGAACCGUAAGAGGAUAAAUUUAUGUUGUUUAAGCCCCACAGUUUAUGAUAUUUUAUUAUGGCAAUCCUAGGAAGCUACCACAAUAACUCACUUUGCUUUGUUUAAUCCAGGGUUUCAUAUACUUAUUUGACCAAAUAAAUAUUUUCUCCAUGGUAGCUAUUAACAAUCUCUAACUCCCUUUGUGGAGGGGAAGGGGGGACAUACGUGUUUUAGAAAAGUAAAGCUCAUCUUCCUAUUUCACAGAUGAAGAAACUGAGACUCAAGGAGGACAAAGAAUUCACACACUUGUGUGUGGUAGGAUGAGGAUCAGAACUUGGGCUCCACAGGCACUCUGGGUGCUCUUUACCAUUUGCUUCUAUUUACUUCUCAGCUGCCCCAGGAAAUAUGGUGGCAUACAAGAUUAGGCUUGGCUUGGCGCUCACUAAGAAUAGAACAGGGAACUUUUCCCAAUUAAUGAAGGGCUCUUUGAAAAAAUCGACCCAAUAUUCUUCCAGCCAAUAGAAAAAAAUGAUUCUCCUUUGUAGAGGAGUUGGGGCAAAUGGAUUCUAAAAAUCAAUUAUAAAAGCAGCUGGUCCAAUGUAAACUGAUGUCUCAGCUGAGUUUGGACUGACUGAAAAUCCAGCCACAGCUUGGUUUUCACCUCUUCAUCCCUCCACCCUUCCUUGUGCCUAAAGAGACAAGAGAAUGUGAGCCCCCACCCCUGACAUGUUUGAAAAGGGAAACAAAUUCAUUGAUAACAUUGUGGUCUGUUCAAUUCUUUGCUUUUCUUUUUGCCUCCUUACCCCACCAUCUUCCUCAGGUACACAGGACACACCAGAAAUAAAGCACUCCCACCCCAGUGAAGGGGAGAGAGUGUCCCCUACCUUCUACUUGAUAAGCUGCAGUGGCUGCCGCCCAUCCAAAUCCUGCAGGGAAAGCCAUGGUUUAAGAAGCUGUCUACUGGGAUCUUCAGCUGCCAGAAGCAGAGCACCCUUUGGCCAGAGGAGCCAGGCAAUUGUGCAAACAGAAAAUGAGCUCUCACCCUAGAAUGAAGCCUCAGAAUACAAAUAUUUAUGCAAACAACAAGGAAGCAGGGGCAAAGGACACUUGACUGCCACAGCCUUGAUAAGAAUCCAAGAUACUUUGUACAAGGCCAUCAUUUAUACUUUCUUCCCCCAGCACUCCCUGAUUCUUAACAGAGUUGAUAACCCUGGGUGCUAAGUCCCUGAUUUGGCAGGGCACCCAUUUACCUGAUGUUUUGCCUUUUAAAGUAACAUGAACAUUGUUUUAAAAAGUCAUUAUCAUCCUACUAGAAUUUUCCCUUAGUUCAUUCAUCCCAAUUCCUGAUCCGUACUCUGUAGAGGUAACCACUUUUAACCAUUUCUUCUGAUAUUUAAUCCCAUAUUGUGUAAAUAAUAGGGUGUUGCUGCUUAUUUUUUUCAAUUUUAGAUAAUUAUUGACUUCUGGGUAUAGGGCAGAGGAUCUAGCACUCUCUCUCUCUGUUCCUCCUCCCUCCUUCUCUUCCACCUUCUCCCAUCUGGCCAACAUGAUAAAAUUACCUUUUCAUUUAAAUGAAUUCAAUAUUUAUAUUUCUAUGAGUCUGUAUGGCUCAAAGCUGAGCCAUAUAGUAUACAUACCAUGCUUCCAUGCAACUUUUAAUUUUCUCUAGGGUUAAUCCACUGCCUGAUCUUUAUGUUUAUUUCAUCUUCUUUACACCUAUUACUAAUUCAUCCCCAAACACUCUGACAGAAGAAUACAUCUCUGAGUUGUUCAAACAACUCUGUCUUCCUGCUCCAUUCUGCACUGUUUAUUUUUUAGGACACCACAGAGCUUUGACCCACGAUCUCCUUCACAUCAUUCAGAGAGGCUCCUUCACCUCUCCCCUGGUCUUUCUGUUUCUUUUCCCGCUUUAGAGAAGCACAUCCUCAAAUAACUGUCUGAUAAAGGGGGCAUGGGACAUAAAUAUUUCAAAACUCUGUAGUUGCUCUGGAAUUGUCUUUAGUCUAACAUUGCUCUUAAUAUGCAGUUUUGUACAGGAUUUUAUGAUGAAAAUAAUUUUCACUCAGAAUUUUGAAGGCAUUGGUUCCUGAUUUUCUAGCUUCUGGUGUGGCUACUGACAAGUUUGAUGAGAAUACAAGUCCUGUUCUUUUAUAUGUAAACUUUUUUAUUUCCCCAGCCCACCCUCUCUGACCCCCAAGUUUCUGUUUCUGAAAUUUCAGUCAUGUUCAUUGGUGUGGAACUUCUGUCCAUUGUGCCAGGAACCCAGUGGGUAUGGGUUUCCACAGAAAUGUACAUGUUAACAGUAGGGGAAACUGGAUGAGGGGCCAUGGGAACUCCCUGUACUAUCUUUGAAGCUUCUGUGUAAAUCUAAAAUUGAUCCAAAAUAAAAAGUUUAUUUAAAAAAAAAUGACUAUGGAUUGGGAGGCC
rnacentral:lncRNA from 10 species